rfam:Schistosoma mansoni strain Puerto Rico chromosome W, complete genome
ACACUGCUGAAGAGUCCCACGAUAGGACGAAACGGCCGUCCAGUGC